UACGGAGGGUGCAAGCGUUGUCCGGAUUUAUUGGGUUUAAAGGGUGCGUAGGUGGCUUGUUAAGUCCGGGGUGAAAGCCCACAGCUCAACUGUGGAACUGCCCUGGAUACUGGCGAGCUUGAGUCCAGACGAGGUUGGCGGAAUGGAUGCUGUAGCGGUGAAAUGCAUAGAUAGCAUCCAGAACCCCGAUUGCGAAGGCAGCUGACUAGGCUGGUACUGACGCUGAGGCACGAAAGCGUGGGGAGCGAACAGG
rnacentral:rRNA from 1 species